rnacentral:lncRNA from 1 species
CAAUUCAUAGAAUUGCAAAUAUUUUCUUCUUUUUUAAUAUGCUCUGCAACAAUUGGAAAUUACAGAUGACUAGUAGAGUGCCCGUGCAUUGCCACGGGCCAACAAAUGAAUUAACUAAAAAACACUCUCACCCCACUUUAUAUAUAAAGCAACGGCCAACAUACACGCAACCGCAUACAACACGCCGCCACCACACACAAUACACAACACACAUCCAAGGUAAGAUGCAAGGGUGCCGAGGAAUAGCAACACCCCUGCCACCAAGCACACUACAAAUGGACCAAAAAGAACUGCUGGAGUCGACUGAGCCCUUCAUCAUGAGCUAUGCACCACGAAGAUGUGAAGCUGGACAUCGAUGAAACAUAUACUCAAAAGCGGUGCCUACAAGGAUACGCCACGCCCAAUCCGGGGAUCAGUUUUUCACCCAGAGCGACAAGAAGGACAAAGAGUGACUGCCAUGGAGCCUUCAAGAAGGUAAUGACGCCCGCCGACACUGCUCCUGUCGGCCUAGAAAAAAUUGGACAAGUUAUGCACCCCAACGCUCAAACAUCUUCGCUGAACCAGGGUACCGCCAGAUGCCAAAGCAGCUGCAACACCAACGCCAUGCUACGGCAAACACCAAUGACCAUGCCACCCACAUGGCCAUAGCAGCCAGCCGGCACCGAGAGGCAUGCUCACAUAAGAAUAUGAACAAGAGAAAGUAUUUGACAAGCAUUGCUCACAGCAGAAUGUAAAAUUUAUAAGAUCUAAACGGAUAACCCUAGCAUUGCACAUUUAAGCUUGCGUCGUAACAUAUCACAGAUAGAGUAGGAAACUUGGUAAACUCAGUUAGUAGUCCUUUCUGUUGCUUACUUGUUAGUGCUUAUUUCGAAGGAAAGCUGAAGAAAUAUGGGUAAACAUCCACUAAAUCAAUUAGGGAACAUGUGACUCAAGGCAUAUAACACAGUUACACAAACAGGUUCAGCAAACAUUAUUGGUUUACCAAAGUCCAUCAGGAAACAUGUUCAACAAAGAAAAACAGAAAAGCAAGUCAUCUUGUAGAGAAGUAGAAGUCAACCACAGAAAUUUCUAAUCUUCUAUAAAGCACUUGCGCAGUCAAAUACAGAAUAAUGGAAUCUCAGUUUACCUACUUAAAAACCACUUGAUAUGAGAGGAAACUUUUCUACAAAGUAAUCUUGCAGAAUAAGCUCCAGAAGUUGCCAAUACUCCAUCAUGACUUGGAUGAUUUUUCGAAUCCAGAAUUAAUGGCUUCUAAUGCAUCUGAAAAGGUAGAAUACAGCUGAAUCAGUUCACUCUUGCCCACGUCAUUAACAUGUAUUAAGGAAUACUGCAAAAUCUAGACCAGAAUGGAGAAACUAAUUACAAACAGGAAAAAAGAAGUAUUCCAUGGAUAGGCAAAAUCUCUGUCGAUCAUACAUGUAUGACAAGCAGAAGUAACGGCUAUACGUUGCCGGUUGAAUCCACCCACAGCAUAAAUAAAGAUAUACCAAGUAGUUUCAUUCUCUGACACAAAAUCUGCAGAAUAGUUUGUCAUGAGGUUUCUAACUAUGAUUGAUAAACAUAAACAGAGGAUGAGCACAUAUAAACAGAGGUUUAUUAGGCCGGAUUCUACUAACUGCAUCGCCAACACGGGGAUGAUGCACGGCUGUCAGCUGCGAAAGAUGCCAAAGCGCACAAAUAAAAGAGGCCACUGAGCCCAACCCGUGACCCAGCACCAAACAAUGCACACGGACGAAAAGAUGGCUUCCGAGUCCAGCCGUGACCCAGCACCGAUAAGUGCGCACAGACCAAAACAAAUGCAGUGAAAAGAUCCCCUACGAGGGCACAGUCGUAAAAAAAUAGCGCAAUUGCAUCCCCUGGGUUGGCACGUGCUAUACAUUAGCACCGGACUUUUUGUUCAAAUUCCUUUUUUUAAGAUUUUUCCAACACAACACCUCUUGUAUCCUUGCCAUGUCAGUUGUCGCUCAUCAAUUGAACAACUCCAGCACCGCCACCGUCGCUGGGAUGCAGCUCUAACAGCAAAAACCGGAAGCCAACCAUGGCGACUAGCAUGUCUGGCUGCGGCGGCCAUGGAGAGGAGCGCUCGAAGCUAGCCAUGGUGUUCACUCGCAGCUGCCGUGAGGUUCAUGAGCCAUAUCCGGACCUCCCACAGCAAUCAGAAUCGAGAAAAAUUUCAGUAACAUAUUGCUGUCUCUGGAUUCAGAAAUGCCUAAAGCAAGAAUUACAUCGAACUUCAAAUAAGAAACACGGACUUCCCUUACUCAAAAUGAAAGUAAUUUCCAACGGAAAUAACAGCCCUACAAAUUCAAAUAAGAAACACCAAGGAAAAAAAGCCUGCCUAUGAAACGGCCCUGUUCCGUUCCUCGGAGUCUGCCUAUGCUCUCCGCGCUCUUGCCCUUCGCCAGAUUAGAUCAAUGUUCAGCAUCAGUAAUAGUACGGCAGCAGAAUUUUAACUUGCCUAAAAUAAAGUCUACUGCUUGGUGAGAAAAUGUAGCAAACGAAACCUCAAGCAGAUUAAACAUUUACUACAGUACAUGGACUUCUCGUAACCACAGAAUUACCAGGCCAUCAGUAACAGCUCGGUAGAACAUGAGAAAAUGUCAAAGACAAGGAUCACCAUUUUCAGAAAAUAUAAACAGUGAGCAUAUUACAGAAGUUAGAAGUAAUGUAAACAGAUAGCAUACAGCUAGCUCUACUGGCACCAACUAGGAUAAUUACUGAUGCUUCACAUUCACUUCCAUGUCAAUCACUUAAGUGGAGAUAAAACUGAAAACUUCCUUGCUAUAACAACCACAACAUAUUAAAAAAAAUGAGCGAUGCAGCACUAUACCUACUAAGAAAAUCCAUCAACACGCACACAGUUAUCAGAUUCCGACACAAUAUAUAUGUAUCCCACAUGACUGAGUUACAUGUGUGGAUGUGCUUCCAUACAGCCAGCAAUCAAGACAUCCUCAUGUCCAUUAAGCAAGACAGGACUUGCACAAUGGUUGAAUAUGAAAGAUAUCCUCGUGAAAAUAUCUCUCGUGGCCUGCAGUGAGAAAAUAGAACAAAUUAUCCAACUGCACAGCAUAUUCCUAUUCUUGUCUAGCUAUUAAAAUGUAAAACAGAAAAUAAUUAUCAGGUGUUCAUAGUCUAAAAUCUGUUGCUUAUAGUACUAUUUACCUGUAUCAACAUGUACUGAUAAAAUGCCAUGGAUAUUUGCACAGCUAUCAAGCAAAACAGCAUCAUAUAUAACUUCCAUAUUUGCACAGCUAUCAACUAAAGCAGCAUUAUAUAUCAACCCAGCGUUUUUUUAAGAAUCUUCGACUAACAGAAAUAAUUCUUUAGGAUAGUGCUAACCAGAUCUCUGUAGCGAAAUAAUAAGAGCCUGAGUCAUGUCCAAAUUAUCACAAUCAGAGAAACAACAUUAUCCUUUUUGCUUACUAGUUUCAUUAUAUAUGCAAAACAUAUGGAUAAGCAACCUGGAAAUAUUCGCGCAUUUCAUCAUGAUGGCAAAGAAGUAGUGAUCUUUACCUUGAUCAAACAAGGAGAGCAGUUACUUCAUUUGCUAAUCCUAUUCCAUUCUAGCCGGUGCAUGCAGAGUCAAAUUCCAACUAAUAGUAUCAUCAUUUUAAGAUCUGUAACCUCCUCUUA